UGCAGGUCAGCUCACUCAGUUGUUAACAGAGAUUUUGAUCGUCAGGAGCUCUGGGAAUAUAAAGAUGAAACUUCCCCCUUGCCUUCAAGGAUAUCAUGGGCCAGAAGGCAAAGUUGUUUUGAAUACGUGGUUCAUUGAGUACCCACUCUGUGCCAACUGAUGGCUGCAAAGAGAACAGAAGGGGUGCUGCUGUAGGAAAUAAAUGAAUGGCUCAGAAGACCACACUGAGGAAGUUGUGAGUUGAUAAUGGAAGAUCUCCAGGUUUGAGGCAUCCUUAGAGGGAUAUGAUGGUUUUGUGUGUGUUGGGGGUGUGGUAGCGCAGCUGCUACCUAGGGAAUUAGAAGGUUUUCUUUAUUGAACAUUUACCCUGUGACAGGUACUGCAGGCAUUCAGCACACAAUGUCGUCUCCAUUUUACAGGUGAGGAAACUGAGACUCCAGUUCAAGUAGAUGGUCAAGGCCAGUACUACCGGAAGGACCAUCUGGGGGUUCAGACACUGGCAGGGUGGGAUUUGCUGCCCCUUGCAAAUUGAGAGUGUCUUGGGGUCAGUUUUGAUUUGCUCAGCUGUUGGCAUUCUUUGGGCUCUGAGUGGGUGAGGUGACCCUUGACCUCCUGGGAUCGCAUCUGGAGACUGCCUAGUAUUCUGCCAGCUUCGGAAAGGGAGGGAAAGCAAGCCUGGCAGAGGCACCCAUUCCAUUCCCAGCUUGCUCCGUAGCUGGUGAUUGGAAGACACUCUGCGACAGUGUUCAGUCCCUGGGCGGGAAAGCCUCCUUCCAGGAUUCUUCCUCACCUGGGGCUACUUCUUCCCCAAAAGGCAUCAUGGCUGCCCUCAGAUCCCUUGUGAAGCCCAAGAUCGUCAAAAAGAGAACCAAGAAAUUCAUCCGGCACCAGUCAGACCGAUAUGUCAAAAUCAAGCGUAACUGGUGGAAACCCAGAGGCAUUGACAACAGGGUUCAUAGAAGGUUCAAGGGCCAGGUCUUGAUAUGAUGCCCAGCAUUGGUUAUAGGAGCAAAAAAAAAAAAAAAAAAAAAAAACCAGAAAGCACGUGCUGCCCAGUGGCUUCCGGAAGUUCCUGGUCCACAAUGUCAAGGAGCUGAGAGUGCUGCUGAUAUGCAACAA
rnacentral:lncRNA from 1 species